GUUCCCAUCUUAAAGUUGCUUCCUGUUUGCUUCUACCUGCUAUUCAGCUGAUUGUCGGAAUUAGCCAUCCCUCGUGAAUUUCUCUGCCAUUUUUUAUUGGAAGCUGUAUUGGGCUAGUGGAUUGGUCUUUGACUAGCAAUUUUCUAGGACUAUUCAGGUUGUGGAAGGCUCUCCAGUUUUAUGUAGGCUUCAGCAUUUUCAUGCUUUAUGUGUAUCAAUUCCCUAUAGAGUUCUCAAGUAUGUUACAAUGGAUAGCUGAUUUUGUUGGUCUAUUCAAAAUAUGUUCAACAUCUGAGUGGACUAAAAUUUUCUCUUCUGUUUCUUUUGUACAUUUUUACAUCAUGGUAUGUACUAGUUUUAUUACUAUAGGUUUGAUUCUGUUUAAAGAUUUUAGCUGAACCUUUAAAUGAAAUGCAAUACACUCUUCCCUCUUCCUAGAAUCUUAUAUUAUGAAAUUGACUUCAUUUGAGUCUUUCCUGUGUC